rnacentral:rRNA from 1 species
UACGAAGGGAGCUAGCGUUGUUCGGAAUCACUGGGCGUAAAGCGCACGUAGGCGGACGUGUCAGUCAGGGGUGAAAUCCCGGAGCUCAACUUCGGAACUGCCUUUGAUACAGCACGUCUUGAGUCCGGAAGAGGUGGGUGGAAUUCCUAGUGUAGAGGUGAAAUUCGUAGAUAUUAGGAAGAACACCAGUGGCGAAGGCGGCUCACUGGUCCGGUACUGACGCUGAGGUGCGAAAGCGUGGGGAGCAAACAGG